rnacentral:rRNA from 1 species
AUUGAACGCUGGCGGCAUGCCUUACACAUGCAAGUCGAACGGUAACAGGUCUUCGGAUGCUGACGAGUGGCGAACGGGUGAGUAAUACAUCGGAACGUGCCUAGUAGUGGGGGAUAACUACUCGAAAGAGUGGCUAAUACCGCAUGAGAUCUACGGAUGAAAGCAGGGGAUCGCAAGACCUUGUGCUACUAGAGCGGCCGAUGGCAGAUUAGGUAGUUGGUGGGAUAAAAGCUUACCAAGCCGACGAUCUGUAGCUGGUCUGAGAGGACGAUCAGCCACACUGGGACUGAGACACGGCCCAGACUCCUACGGGAGGCAGCAGUGGGGAAUUUUGGACAAUGGGCGCAAGCCUGAUCCAGCAAUGCCGCGUGCAGGAUGAAGGCCUUCGGGUUGUAAACUGCUUUUGUACGGAACGAAAAGCCCUGGGUUAAUACCCUGGGGUCAUGACGGUACCGUAAGAAUAAGCACCGGCUAACUACGUGCCAGCCGCCGCCGUAACAC